rnacentral:lncRNA from 1 species
GUUUAAUUGGCUUGGAUAUCACAUCAUAAAUGUGUUUCAGUAAAUGUAACUGUCAACUCUUUUAUCCAAACUAGGAAAUUGCUUCUAAAUGAAACAAUCAUUAUACAUGCUGACUAUGGCAAUGAUUAGGUUUUUACUUUGGAAAAAGCAAUUGAAGGAAUUAACCAAGGCUACCAACCACAGUAAUUAAUUGUCAGAACCAAGGCUCUGUUGCCAGGAUAAAGGUCAGAAUCUGAAGCAGAAGCACAGGAGUGCAAGCAAAAUCACAGAAUUGGAUGAGGACUGAUGUCAAGUUGGAACAAAGCUUGUGACUAAACAUUUAAAGAAUGUCCCACUAGAAUAUAAGUCUGAAGAUUGCUCCCAAACUAGGAGAUAUAUCCUCAAGGGAAAAGAGUCACAAAAACUUCAAGUGAGUUCCAAGAACCAAGGUGUCUGUCCCAGCCCUUCAUGAGAGCAGCAUGCCUCCAACAGAAGUUUGGCAGAAGGUGGGAGUACUAGUCUGAAGUGGCAACAAUUAGCAAGAAUAUCACUAACCUCACUUCCUGGUCUCGAGACACAUCCUGUGUGACAGAAUGAAAUAGCGUGUAUUUGAGAAGGCUACAAGGAGACUGUUCUUAAGGGAAAAUAAUUGAAAGCAAGGACAUUUCCAUUUUGCUGAAUAUACAAUUUGAAUUUCACAGAGCAUGGCAGAAAUAUGGAAUUAGAAGGCAUAUGAAGCAGUAUUUUAAAAAGUCUGAAUGACGACGGGUGACCAGGGAGGUAUGAACUUCUCGUGAUGACUGAGGUCAGCAGAGAUAUCAGGCAUGGUGGAGGAUGAAUGCUUCCAGGUUCUCCAGUGUGAUGCUAUUGCAUACAGAGCAUUCUGGAAGAGCUCAGCCUGGUGGCGGCAGCAUGAUUCACCAGUAGAAAUCCUCCUGCAGUUUACUCUCAGCUUCUGCUUUCUCACAUGUCUGAAGGUGAAUUUGAUGAGGAAACAUCCUAAUCUUGGAAGUGUAUGUUCAAAAACCUUUUAGAAAUGACAUGUUCCUACCUCCAGUGUCCUUAGCACUGCAUUUGCCAUUUAAGAAAAAGAUAAUCUUUCAUCUAACAGCUCAAAAAGCACUUACGUGAAGACCUUUGUGGAGAAAAG